rnacentral:SRP_RNA from 2 species
GCUGGGCAUGGUGGCACAUGCCUGUAAUCCCAACUACUCAGGAGGCUGAGGCAGGAGAAUCGCUUGAACCCAGGAGCUGGAGGCUGGAGUGAGCUGAGAUCGCGCCACUGCACUCCAGCCUGGGUGACAGAGUGAGACUCUGUCUCAA